GAUGAACGCUAGCGGCAGGCCUAAUACAUGCAAGUCGAACGGUGUCUUCGGACAUAGUGGCGCACGGGUGCGUAACACGUAUGCAACCUACCUUACAUUGGGGGAUAGCCUUUCGAAAGGGAGAUUAAUACCGCAUAAGACAGUAGCUGGGCAUCCAGCAGCUGUUAAAGAUUUAUCGAUGUAAGCUGGGCAUGCGUCCAAUUAGCUAGUUGGUGAGGUAACGGCUCACCAAGGCAAUGAUUGGUAGGGGAACUGAGAGGUCAAUCCCCCACACUGGCACUGAGAUACGGGGCAGACUCCUACGGGAGGCAGCAGUAGGGAAUAUUGGGCAAUGGACGAAAGUCUGACCCAGCCAUGCCGCGUGCAGGAUGAAGGCGUUAUGCGUUGUAAACUGCUUUUAUACAGGAAGAAACGACUCUUGCGAGAGGCAUUGACGGUACUGUAUGAAUAAGCACCGGCUAACUCCGUGCCAGCCGCCGCCGUAA
rnacentral:rRNA from 1 species